rnacentral:rRNA from 1 species
UGAGGAAUAUUGGGCAAUGCCCGCAAGGGUGACCCAGCAACGCCGCGUGGAGGAUGAAUGUCGUAAGAUUGUAAACUCCUGUUGGAGGGGAAGAAUAGUACCGGUUGGACCGGUAUAUGACUGUACCCUCAGAGAAAGCCCCGGCUAACUACGUGCCAGCAGCCGCGGUAAUACGUAGGGGGCAAGCGUUGUCCGGAUUUACUGGGUGUAAAGGGCGCGCAGGCGGGAUAAAAAGUCAGUGGUGAAAUCCUACAGCUUAACUGUAGAACUGCCUUAGAUACUUUUAUUCUUGAGUUCGGGAGAGAGAGACGGAAUUCCAGGUGUAGUGGUGAAAUACGUAGAUAUCUGGAAGAACACCAGUUGCGAAGGCGGUCUCUUGGUCCGACACUGACGCUGAGGCGCGAAAGCGUGGGGAGCAAACA